rnacentral:rRNA from 2 species
GUAACACGUGGGCAACCUGCCUGUAAGACUGGGAUAACUUCGGGAAACCGAAGCUAAUACCGGAUAGGAUCUUCUCCUUCAUGGGAGAUGAUUGAAAGAUGGUUUCGGCUAUCACUUACAGAUGGGCCCGCGGUGCAUUAGCUAGUUGGUGAGGUAACGGCUCACCAAGGCAACGAUGCAUAGCCGACCUGAGAGGGUGAUCGGCCACACUGGGACUGAGACACGGCCCAGACUCCUACGGGAGGCAGCAGUAGGGAAUCUUCCGCAAUGGACGAAAGUCUGACGGAGCAACGCCGCGUGAGUGAUGAAGGCUUUCGGGUCGUAAAACUCUGUUGUUAGGGAAGAACAAGUACGAGAGUAACUGCUCGUACCUUGACGGUACCUAACCAGAAAGCCACGGCUAACUACGUGCCAGCAGCCGCGGUAAUACGUAGGUGGCAAGCGUUAUCCGGAAUUAUUGGGCGUAAAGCGCGCGCAGGCGGUUUCUUAAGUCUGAUGUGAAAGCCCACGGCUCAACCGUGGAGGGUCAUUGGAAACUGGGGAACUUGAGUGCAGAAGAGAAAAGCGGAAUUCCACGUGUAGCGGUGAAAUGCGUAGAGAUGUGGAGGAAC